rnacentral:rRNA from 1 species
UACGCAGGGGGCUAGCGUUGUUCGGAAUUACUGGGCGUAAAGCGCGUGUAGGCGGGUCUUUUAGUCCGGGGGGAAAUGCCAAGGCUCAACCUUGGAACUGCCUUUGAUACUGGAGACCUUGAGUCCGGGAGAGGUGAGUGGAAUUGCGAGUGUAGAGGUGAAAUUCGUAGAUAUUCGCAAGAACACCAGUGGCGAAGGCGGCUCACUGGCCCGGAACUGACGCUGAGACGCGAAAGCGUGGGGAGCAAACAGG